UUGCUCCCGCAGCAGAUAUACUAAAAUUGGAACGAUACAGAGAAGAUUAGCAUGGCCCCUGUGCAAGGGUAACACAACAAUUUGUAAAGCAGUCUAUAUUUAA
ensembl:snRNA U6 U6 spliceosomal RNA